UAUCAAUAACAUACAGGGCUUAAAGUCUUGUAAUUGGAAUGAUGGGAAUCUAAACCCUUCCCAGAGUAUCAAUUGGAGGGCAAGUCUGGUGCCAGCAGCCGCGGUAAUUCCAGCUCCAAUAGCGUAUAUUAAAGUUGUUGCAGUUAAGAAGCUCGUAGUUGAAUUUCUGCCUUGUCAUUAAUCUCGCUUCCGAGCGUUUUUUUAUUGACUUGGCAUCUUCUGGAUUUGGUGCCUUCGGGUACUAUUUUCCAGAAUUUACUUUGAGAAAACUAGAGUGUUUCAAACAGGCAUUCGCCUUGAAUACUACAGCAUGGAAUAAUGGAGUAGGACUUUGGUUCUAUUUUGUUGGUUAUUGAGCCAGAGUAAUGGUUAAUAGGAGCAGUUGGGGGCAUUCGUAUUUAAA
rnacentral:rRNA from 1 species